rnacentral:rRNA from 1 species
UACGUAGGGCGCAAGCGUUGUCCGGAAUUAUUGGGCGUAAAGAGCUCGUAGGUGGUUUGUCGCGUUGUUCGUGAAAUCCCACGGCUUAACUGUGGGCGUGCGGGCGAUACGGGCAGACUGGAGUACUGCAGGGGAGACUGGAAUUCCUGGUGUAGCGGUGGAAUGCGCAGAUAUCAGGAGGAACACCGGUGGCGAAGGCGGGUCUCUGGGCAGUAACUGACGCUGAGGAGCGAAAGCGUGGGGAGCGAACAGG